UGAUGGCGCGAUGAUGAUAGAUGUUUAAUCCCAGCUCAUUAUGAGACCUUAUCAAGGUCUGGGAUAGAUCAAAACCUAUCUGAGCAAUUC